AUUGAACGCUGGCGGCAUGCCUUACACAUGCAAGUCGAACGGUAACGCGGGGCAACCUGGCGACGAGUGGCGAACGGGUGAGUAAUGCAUCGGAACGUGCCCAGUAGUGGGGGAUAGCCCGGCGAAAGCCGGAUUAAUACCGCAUACGACCUAUGGGUGAAAGCGGGGGACCGUAAGGCCUCGCGCUAUUGGAGCGGCCG
rnacentral:rRNA from 1 species